ACCAAGCUCAUGUGAAGUUGAAUAUUUAAUUGUUUUGAAACAGCACCAGGACAAGGUUCCUGUAGGCAACUUAAAUUUUAAUCUUUUAAUUUGUCUAAGAGGUAUGUUGUCGGUGGGCUCUCAAGUCUCUAGGCUACUUUUUCUUAUUUUGUUGCACCGGUUCUUUGUGAAGGUGGCGUGUUGUCGUUUGUUGUUUUCAAGCUCCAAGCUUCCUCCUUCUUUCACAGCCUAUAUAUUGGUGUGCUACUUGUUUUGCUUUGUAGUAAGAAAGAGUGUUGCAUAUUAAUAAAAUCGUUCUCUUUGCUUCAAUUCAUAUUUUUCUUCUUCGGUUUCUUUAUUGUGUGAGAAUACUGAGUGUUAUAACUCACUUGCGUGAGUGUUCUAUUUGUUGGUUCUAGUCUUUAUUUAAUUUUAUUUUCUACAUAUGGUAUCAGAGCUUACGCUCAAGAACAUGGCAAAUAGAAAUGAUUUCGUACAUGUCUAUAAAAAGAUUGCAAGAUUGCACAUGUCUCUACAUCUAAGGAGGAAUGGGAUGUGCUUAGGGGGCAAAUGCACAAAGAGACAAAUGGGGUCAGGUGACCCAAUGGAAGCUCAAAAUAAUGGAUGUGGAGGUCUGAGGCCACCCCAAGUCUUGCUGGUGUGAGACUCUGUGGCGCACACCUCUUGUUCGAUGAAAUGCGCAAGAACCCUUGCACAACGUGCACACGAGGCUUCUCUUUUUUUCUAAACGCCUAACCAAUACGACACUAUUUUGCUCCACAUGCUUGAAUUAAUUAAUUUUUUUAAACCUAGCUUCAAAACGGCGUUGUUUUGAGCUAGGUUUUUUUUAUACAAAUUUAACAAAAAAAAAAAAAAAAAAAGAACCCAACAGCAACCUAAGCCUACCUGACUCCUUCAGUAGCAACCUCCAAAGCCAAAACCCAAUUUUCUCUCUUACCCUAACUAAUCCCCAACCUCCACCACCACCUCCAAUUCACUCUGUCGCCACCCACCUCGUGUCUCCAUAGCACCUCCACACUGUCGCCUCUCAUAAAGUCACAAUUAUGGAAUGAUACUUUAAGAGAAAAUUACCUAUGGAUAGUUCGUCUAAUCCGGGUAGUUCAAGUGCAAGCGCAAGACCAAGACCUAUUGAAUUAGAUGAGAUAUUGGCUAAUCUUCAGGGAGAUUCUUGGCUAAGAACUCAAAUGACGGAUAUUAUAGUCCUCAUCAUCGAGAUGAGAUCCGAAGAGGGUAUCUUCAAAAAAGACCUUGUCAACCUAGAGGUCAUAAAUUUCCACAAACUAAUCAAUCGGGAAUUAAUAGGCGAUUCAUUGCCCAAUGGUUUGAUGAGUUUGAUUGGUUGGAGUAUAGUAUAGCUAAAGAUGCUGCAUUUUGCCCUCAUUGCUAUUUCGUUAAAACUAGUUUUGAUCAAGUAAGUGAUGACAUCUUCACUAUGGUAGGCUUCAAUAAUUGGAAAAAGGGAUGAGAAAGGUUUAACAUUCAUGUUGGACCAGUUGGUAGUGUUCACAACCAAGCUAGAGAAGCUGCUUACAAUCUGAUGAAUCAAAAAACACACAUUGAAACAAUUGUAAUCAAGCAAAUAGAAGCUCGUACGGUUUAUCGCACUUGCUUGAAUGCAUCACUCAAGUGUACAAGGUAUUUAUUGCGGCAAGACCUUCCUUUUCGUGGUCAUGAUGAAAGUGCCACUUCAAGUAAUAAGGGGAAUUAUUUGAAGCUCUUGCAAUUUUUUGGGGGAUCAUGAUGAAAAAGUUAAGGCCGUUGUGUUGGAAAACACUCUAGCCAAUCUCAAGUUAAUAGCUUCUUCAAUUCAAGUUAAUGUCAGUAAAGAAGAAAAUGGCCAUGGUUGUUCGUUAUAUGAACAACAAAGAAUAAAUAAUAGAAAGGUUUGUGGGGAUUCAACAUGUUACGGACACCACCUCAAGUGCACUAAAAAAAUCCAUUGAUGAAUUUUUUUUCUUUCGAGGGAUUGAGCUUUUCCAAGCUACGAGGACAAGGUUAUAAUGGAGCUAGUAAUAUGAAAGAUCAUCUUGUAAGCACUGUGAUGCACUUAGAGCACAAUACCAAGAAGAGCUUGUUAAAGCUUUUAAUGAAGGUUGUCUUAUGACGGGACGAUGAUUGAAUCCAGAAACUACUCUCAAAUGUGCAUGUAAUACACGAUGGAACUCACAUUAUACUACCUUGAUUAGUAUCAUUUCUAUGUUUCCAUCUGUGGUGAGUGUGCUUCAAAUGAUUGUUCGGGUGAAGCCUUCAAGUUAUAGAGAGAAAUACAAUCUAUUGAGUUCGUAUUUCACUUAUUUUUCAUGAAAGUUAUAUUGGGAAUAACAAAUACUUUGUCUCAAACAUUACAAAAGAAAGAUCAAGACAUUGUGAAUGUAAUGGGUUUAGUAAAAACAUGCAAGGAAAACCUACAAUUGAUGUGGAAUAAUGAGUUUGAUGAAUUGUUGAUGAAGCAUCUUCGUUUUGUGACAAACAUCAUAUUACGGUUCCUAAUAUGGAUGAGGAAUACAUAAUUCCUAGGAAAUCAAGACGUAAUGCUCCAAUAGAGAGAAACAAUCAUCAUUAUCGU